rnacentral:rRNA from 1 species
GGCAGCGGCGAUAGCACGUUGAAUGCACCAGUUCCCCAUGGAUCACUGAAGUUAAGCAACGUUUCGCGUACUUGGUAUCCGGAUGGGUGACCAUCUAGGUAAUCGCGGGCUGCGGGUU